rnacentral:ncRNA from 1 species
AAUCAGCAGGGAAAGAAGACCCUGUUGAGUUCUGGCACGGUGAAGGUGAAGUGACAUGAGAGGUGUAGACUAAGUGGGAGGCCCCCUCAGUGCCCUCCCCCACCCUGCGAGGGGCCGGAGUGGUCCACCGGCCUUGAGGGCUGCAGGUGAAAUAUCACUUUGAUUGUUUUUUUUCAUUGACCCAGUGAGUCAGGGUUGGGUUUGGGGGGGUGAUCCCUGAGGGGCUGUCGCUUCUGGCGCCAAGCGCCAGGCCAGCAUUGGCCAGGCACAACCUGUUUCGGUGGCUGUGCCAGGUGGGGAGUUUGACUUGGGCGGUACACCUGUCAAACGGUAACACAGAUGUACUGAGGCCAGCUCAGGGAGGACAGACACCUCCCAUGGAGCAGAAGAGAUCCUUCAAUGUUAGUUCUUCCUAUCACUGUGAAGCAGAAUUCACCAAGCUAAUAUUGUUCACCCACUAAUACAGACCAUGAGCUGGGAUUAGACCAUUAGUUAGGUUAGUUUUAUCCUACUGAUG